GCCUGAACUCGAGUAGGGCCCAAGCCAGCCAGGAAGGAGGAGGCAGCCAGAGUGUUCUCUGCAGCAGAAGAUCCCUUGCUGCCCUGCUUAACCCAGACCAGCAUUUGCCAGAGAAUGUCUUCUUCACUAUGAGCCCCAUCGCCCAUGGAGAACAUCUGGAGAGCACUGCUCAUGCAACCACUUGUCAGCAGCAUUGGGACAGCCCUGCAGGUCUGCAGCAACCUUGACACGGUACUCAGCAUUGCCCAAGGUGUAAGUUUUGCCUGGAGAGAGGACUUUAAUCCGUGUUGACGUAUGCAGCCAUGCAAGUUAAAAAGUGAAGCUAUGUGCAGCAUAUACAUUUACAGUCACUUUAAUUUUUAAUGUUUCAGUAAAAAAUAGCUUGCCAACCA